rnacentral:rRNA from 1 species
UACGUAGGGUGCGAGCGUUGUCCGGAAUUAUUGGGCGUAAAGAGCUUGUAGGCGGUUUGUCGCGUCUGCCGUGAAAGUCCGGGGCUCAACUCCGGAUCUGCGGUGGGUACGGGCAGACUAGAGUGAUGUAGGGGAGACUGGAAUUCCUGGUGUAGCGGUGAAAUGCGCAGAUAUCAGGAGGAACACCGAUGGCGAAGGCAGGUCUCUGGGCAUUAACUGACGCUGAGGAGCGAAAGCAUGGGGAGCGAACAGG